GGAUGGGGCCCCAGAAUAUGCAUUUACAGCAACCUCCCAGGUGAUUUUUGACAACACUUGCAGCUCUUUCUGUCAUGCUGGACCCUCUUGCCAGGAUUAUCCUCCCUCUUGGCAAAGUAAGAGGGUGCCUGCCCAAAAAAGCUUCUCUCUCUGUUAAAAAUUCCACUGGUGAAGCUUUGCUCCUUGGGUUAGGAGCUUGCCCCUAGAAGUGGUCUUGUCAGCAAAGAUGUUAGAGGAUAAAGACAGCUGGCUGAUGGCCAAAUUGUGUCUGGGGCCCCUGGGUGGAGACACAGGCUGAACUUCCCAGACAAGAAAAAGGCUUAAUCAUAUUGCCCAAGGGCCAUGAUCUAGCUCAGCCUGAAGCCAGGGAGAGGCUGAGAAAUAAGCCAUUUGUUCUUUGCUGGCGUGGGAAGAGCUCGGGUUUUGGAGAAGCAGCGUGGACAUUGGACUGUGACCCUGAACGUUGCCUUCAACUUCUCUGAGGCUCAGCCUCCUCCUCUGAGAUACGUUCCUCACGCAGCUGUUGUGAGUAGAUGAAAUAAUGUAUGUAAAGCUCCACAAGGCUUCGGCAUACAGGAGAGGCUCAAUGCUGCUUGUUGAAUGCAUGAACAGAGACCCACCCACUUCCUCUUGGGGAGUCCAGCCGAGGACAGUGUGGCUUGAAGAACAUUCUAAUCCCAGCCCGAGAGCUCUGAGAGAAAAAAUGACUACAAACCCUGGAAUGUGAAGCCUGCUGCUUCCUGCAAAGCAUUUUGAAUGAAACACGUAACCAACAGCUGCAGCACAGAGAAUGGAAACUCUGAGGAACGUCAUGGCUCCAGGUUCCAAAUAGCAGGGUUGUGAGCAGGACAGGCUCUUCAUUUCAGCCCAACCUGGACACCCUCAGCAGCACCCCUCCCUGCUCUCCUUCCAGGAAGCGGGCCCGUCAUGCCAAGGAUGUGCCGCUGUUGCUCGCUUAUUCCAAACACCCCCGGCCCCCAACACAGCCAGACAUCCCCGUGUAUAGGGGUGAGGCCCCCUUCCCACUCACCAGCCCCCAGAGACAUUGAGGACACCCAAGCCCAGCCACUCUGCCCUCUCAGGAGCAGGUUAAUGCAUCCCUCAACAUGACUCCCAUCCUGGAACUCAGCCCCAGGCCAGGCUGGGCAGUGCCAGCCAAUUCAUGCAAUGCAGGAAGAUAUCAUUGCCAAAGCUGCUCUAGGGCAGACUUGGGGUGAGGGGGCAGGACAGAGAGCCCAUGAGGAGCAAGAGGCCCUAGAAUUGGAGAAUUCCUGAAGAUCACUCCUGCAUGAAGGGGAGACAUGCGAACAUUUUUUCAACUUCUUUAGGGAGAUAUAACACACUCAGUAAAACACACUCGUCUUAAUGGCGUGGCUUGAUGAACUUUUACAUACAAACACACCUGGAUGAAAUGUAGAACACUGCAAAUACCCCAGAAGAUUCCCUGGAUCCCCUUCCCAGUCAACAUUCGUCCCCCUCAGAGGUGACCGUGAUUUGGAACUUCUCUCACCAUCAAUUAAUUUUGCCUCUUUUUGAACCUCAUUGAAAUGGAAUCACCAACAGCAUGUGCUUUCAUGACCAGCUUACCUAGUUCAUCCUGUCUAUGAGAUUCAUCCACGAUGCAGACACACUAAUGACCCCAUGGCACCUCCCACACUCCAGGUGCUGUACCAAGGAUGUCAUGGUUACUUGUUUACACUAAGGCCUUGACAUUGAACCCAUUUUCCAGAUAAGGAAGUUGGUUGAAUCAGCAGUUCAUUGCCACACAGUCAGGACUUGGAGAGACUGGAAUUCAAACCCAAGAGAGAACCAGAACAGAUUCUCUCUUCUAUUUUCUCUUAACAAACUUACAGAGACCUGCCUCCAUUAUACCUAGAGAUCUACAGCCUGGAAUUUCCUCACAAGGGAGACCUGUUUCAGGGUUUUGUGCUCUUGGGAACCCAACAGGAGCACCCAUUUUACUUUAGUCCCCUAUUCCUUGGGGGACAUGGGCAAGGCAGAAGAGGAGGGGUGAGCAGCAGGUGAGGAGGGGUGAGCAGCAGGUAAGGAGGGCGUCUCAGGAGGCCCAGACCCAGGCAGAAAAGGUUUCACAGGAAGAGAAUGAAGAGGUUCAUUCAUUUAGUCAGCCAAUAUUUAUUGAAUGCCUGCUGUAUGGCAGGCGCUGUCCUAGGCACUUACUUUUUGGUUAUCUACCUGUAUGUAUCAAACCACUCUAAAAUGCAGUGGCUUAAAAUGGACAACAAACAUUUAUUAUCUCUUAUAACUUUAUAAGUUGGCUGAGCAGUUCUUCCACUGAUCUCACCAAGGGACUUUUAUGCUGCUGCAGCCAGAUGGCAGCUGGAACUGAAGUCAUCUGGGAGCUAGACUGGGCUGGCUGAGUCAAGAUGGUGGCCUCACAUGUCAGGUACCCUGGAAAGAACCUGGAGGGCUGGGCUAGGCUGGGACUGGUGCAUUGAUGGGAUUCCUUCUCUCCUGCUGUCCUGUAUGGGCUCCUCCUUCUCCAUGUGGCCCUUCCACAUCUCCUCUUCAUGCGCAUUUCUCCAAGAGGGUAUCCAGACUUCUUACAUCACAGCUAAGGGCUCCCAGAAGUAAUAAAGUGGAAGUCACCAAGCCUUAUUAAAGUUUAGGACUGGCAAUGGCUUGGCACCACUUUGGACAUAUUUUGCUGCUUAAGGUGAAUUACAAGCCUGGACCAGAUUCAGCACGGGAAGGAACUCUAGAAGGGAAUGAAUAUCAUCCAGGGCCAUCUUUGGAGAGUAGCGACCACCCCCCCAAAAAGAAAAUCAUUGUCUUUUUUCAUUUAUUCAACAAACAUUCACUGUCAGGCACAUAGUUCCUUCUUAAAUAGAGUACACUUAAAGUAAACACCACUUUUGUUUGACUCACUAUCAUUCAAGAUACCAGCCACUGAGAAGCUCUGUAAAGGGUAAAUAGCAUUCAUUGAGAGUUUACUGCAUACCAGACCCUGAGCUCAGUGCUUUACAAAGUCUAACUCAUUUACUCCUUACUUGUUUUCCCUCCUUUGAAGUAGGUAUUAUUGUUUGUCCUGUUUUCUAGAUCACUUAGAAAAGAGGUUAUGUAUUGCUGAAUAACAAACCACCUCCAAACUUAGUGGUUUAAAACAACAAUAAUCAUUUAUUAUCAUUCAUGGUUUCUUUGGAUCAGCUGGGAAGUUCUGGCUUGGGGUCUCAUGAAGCUGUAGUCAGACUGUGACUGAGGAUAGGAUCAGUUUCAAGGCUUCUUCACUCACAGGUCUGGUGCCUGGGCUGGGAGGACACAAACAAGCGGAGGCUGCGAAAGCCAGGGUCUUUCAGGCAUCUCUCUAUCUGUGUGGUUUCUCCACAUGAGCUCUCCAACAUGGCAGCCCCAAAAUAGCUGGACUUUUUUUUUUUGAGACGGAGUUUUGCUCUUGUUGCCCAGGCUGGAACGCAAUGACACGAUCUUGGCUCACUGCAACCUCUGCCUCCCAGAUUCAAGCAAUUCUUCUGCCUCAACCUCCCGAGUAGCUGGGAUUACAGGCGCCCACCACCAUGGCUGGCUAAUUUUUUUUUGUAUUUUUAGUAGAGAUGGGGUUUCUCCGUGUUGGCCAGGCUGGUGUCAAACUCCUGACCUCAGGUGACCCGCCCACCUUGUCCUCCCAAAGUGCUGAAAUUACAGGCAUGAGCCACCGCGCCCGGCUAUAGCUGGAGUUUUUUACAUGGCCACUCAGCAAUCCAAAGGCAUAUAUCCAGAGAGACAGAAGCUGCGUCACUUUUCCUGAUCCAGAACUUGGAAGCCAUGCAGUGUCACUUCUACCUCAUUCUAUUUGUUAAGGCAGUUAAAAAGGCCUGCCCAGGUACAGCAGGAGGGAGAAACAGUUCCAUUUCUUGAUAGGAAAUGGGUCAACAAUCUGAGCCAUAUUUAAAACCACCAUAGUCUAUCCUCUGGACAUAAAUUAUUUACAUUCCUUUCACAUACAAAAUAUACUCAUUCCUUUGCAAAGAUCCCCCAAAAUCUCAUCUAUUAUGGCAUCAGAUUUAGGCUAGAGAGGUCUAGGAUCCCAUUAUAUCAACCAUUCAGGUAUGGAGGAAGUUCCUCAGAUGUAAUUCCUCAGGCACAUUUCCUUAAGUACUAUUCCUCUUUAUUCAGAGACUUGUGAACUAAAGAGACAAGUUAUCUGCUACUGGACCGCAUGCAGUGGCUCACACCUGUAAUCCCAGCACUUUGGGAGGCCAAGGCAGUUGGAUCACCUGAGGUCAGGAGUUCAAGACCAGCCUAGCCAACAUGGUGAAACUCUCUCUCUACUAAAAAUACAAAAAUUAAUUGGGCAUGGUGGCAGGCACCUAUAAUCCCAGCUACUCAGCAGGCUGAGACAGAAGAAUCGCUUGAACCCAGGAGGCGGAGGUUGCAGCAAGCCAAGAUCACACCAUUGCACUCCAGCCUGGGCAACAAGAGUGAAACACUGUGUCAAAAAAAAAAAAAAAAAAAAAGUUAUCUGCUGCUUACACACUGAACAUCCAAUGAUGAGAUAGGCAUAGUGUAGCCACUAUAAACACUCUUAUUCAAGAGAGGGGAGAGGAGGCACAGAGCCAUGACUGGUCCAUAGCAAUUCUGAAAUCCAUUCAGGCUCAUAUUGUGUUGCCAAUUUCUUGAUUAGGGCUCAGUUCUACUGCCUGGGAAUGAUUCUUUGUGGCUUUUGGCUCUGUUCUCUAGAUUCUUGGUUCCACCUUCUGAAUCAUCCUUCUUUCUCUAUAAAAAAUGGCUGGUGAUAUGGUUUGGCUAUGUCCCACCCAAAUCUCAUCUUGAAUUUCCACGUGUUGUGGGAGGGACCUGGUGGGAGGUAAUUGAAUCAUGGGGGCAAGUCUUUCCCGUGCUGUUCUUGUGAUAGUGAAUAAGACUCACGAGAUCUGAUGGUUUUAAAAAAAGAAGCACAAGCUCAUCUUCUCUUUGCCUGCCACCAUCCACGUAAAAUGUGACUUGCUCCUCGUUGCCUUCUGCCAUGAUUGUGAGGCUUCCCCAGCCAUGUGGAACUGUAAGUCCAAUUAAACUUCUUUCUUUUGUAAAUUGCCCAGUCUCAGGUAUGUCUUUAUCAGCAGUGUGAAAACAGACCAAUACACCUGGUGUUUCCAACUGAGUAGUUUUCAGCUUGUUUCCUUCCCAUAGAAUUUUGGGGGUCCAAAAGCCUUUUUUCAUUUCACACUAUUCUGACCCUUUUUGCCCAAGCUGGUGGUGCUUCUGACAAAAUAAUUCUAUUAAAAACUGUGUGGGUUUCCCAUGAAUCCUAUUGGGGCUCACUCUGUUAGUCAAAAGCUAUAACCAAACAUUUCAUCAAGAAAACAUUCUCUACAUUCUCAAUGUGAGGCUGGUGUAAAACGAUUUACUU
rnacentral:lncRNA from 1 species